rnacentral:rRNA from 1 species
GGGAUGAAAUAUUAUUCAAGUUAUUUUAUAUCUGGUUCUCUGAAAUAUUUGAUUGGUUGCAUUGUUGUUAGGUCGGUAAGCAGGGAUUAGCUUGUUUAUUAUUUAUAUGCGUUAAUGAGAUAAUUUUGUUUGUGGAGUUGAUAGUGCUUAAUUUUUAAGGAGUUAUUAUAGAACAGCGUUUUUGUAUUAUUAUUUUGUGGUUGUGUGGUUAUUGGGGUUACUUUAUUAAUUUUUUUUAGUGAAAUAAUGAUUAGAUUAGUAAAAUUUUAUUUAUUUGAGGUGAAGGCCUUAAAUUAGGUUUAGAGUGAGUAUUUUAAUUUUUGAUUAGGAUAGAUGAAUUCGGCAAAGUUAAUUUUUGACUGUUUAGCAAAAACAUUGUUUUUUGUUGGAGUAGAAAAUAAGUUCUGUCCACUGCUAUUAGGUGAAGGGCUGCAGUAUUUUGACUGUAUGAAGGUAGCAUAAUCAUUAGCUUUUUAAUUGGGGGCUGGUAUGAAGGUGAAACAGGGAUUGUCUAUAUUUGUCUUAUUGAUUGAAUUUUAUGUUUAUGUGAAAAAUCAUAAUUGAAUUAGAGGGACAAGAAGACCCUAAUAAGUUUUAUUUUUUUAUUUUAUGAUAGUAUAGGUGUUAUUUAUUUGACUGGAGUAGAGGGGUUUAGCUGGGGCGGCUGUUUAUUUAACAUAAGCAAAUUUUUAACUUUAUUUGGC